rnacentral:rRNA from 1 species
UACAGAGGGUGCGAGCGUUAAUCGGAAUUACUGGGCGUAAAGCGCACGUAGUCGGCUUUGCAAGUCGGGUGUGAAAUCCCCGGGCUCAACCUGGGAACUGCAUCCGAGACUGCAUUGCUAGAGUAUGGGAGAGGGAAGCGGAAUUUCUGGUGUAGCAGUGAAAUGCGUAGAGAUCAGCAGGAACACCCGUGGCGAAGGCGGCCCCCUGGGCCGAACCUGACGCUGAGGCGCGAAGGCUAGGGGAGCGAACGGG